rnacentral:rRNA from 1 species
GAUGAACGCUGGCGGCGUGCCUAAUACAUGCAAGUCGAGCGAACAGAUGAGGAGCUUGCUCCUCUGACGUUAGCGGCGGACGGGUGAGUAACACGUGGAUAACCUACCUAUAAGACUGGUAUCACUUCGGGAAACCGGAGCUAAUACCGGAUAAUAUAUUGAACCGCAUGGUUCAAUAGUGAAAGACGGUUUUGCUGUCACUUCUAGAUGGAUCCCGGCCGCAUUAGCUAGUUGGUACGGUGACGGCUUACCAAGGCAACUAUGCGUAGCCGAGCGGAGAGAGGGAUAGGCCACAUUGGAACUGAGACGCCGUCAAGAGUCCUACGGGAGGGAGCAGUAGGGAAUCGUACGCAACAGGCGAAAGCCUGACGGAGCAAGGGCGAGUGAGUGAUGAAGGUCUUGGGAUCGGAAAACUCUGUUAUUAGGGAAGAACAAAUGUGUAAGUAACUGUGCACGUAUUGACGGUACCUAAUCAGAAAGCAACGGCUAACUACGUG